AGAGUUUGAUCCUGGCUCAGAACGAACGCUGGCGGCGUGCUUAACACAUGCAAGUCGAACGAGAAAGUUUCCUUCGGGAAAUUAGUAAAGUGGCGCAAGGGUGAGUAUCACGUGAAUAAUCUGCCCUCGAGAUCGGGAUAACAUGGUGAAAACUAUGCCAAUACCGGAUAAGACCACAUUUCAUAAGAAAUGCGGUAAAAGGAGUCUCAAUCUUCACUCGAGGAUGAGUUCGCGCAACAUUAGCUUGUUGGUGAGAUAAAAGCUCACCAAGGCUACGAUGUUUAGCCGGCCUGAGAGGGUGAACGGCCACACUGGAACUGAGACACGGUCCAGACUCCUACGGGAGGCAGCAGUGGGGAAUAUUGCGCAAUGGGCGAAAGCCUGACGCAGCAACGCCGUGUGAGCGAUGAAGGCUUUAGGGUCGUAAAGCUCUGUCAAAUGGGAAGAAUUCUGACGGUACCAUUAGAGGAAGCCCCGGCUAACUCCGUGCCAGCAGCCGCGGUAAUACGGAGGGGGCAAGCGUUGUUCGGAAUUAUUGGGCGUAAAGCGUAUGUAGGCGGCUAAAUAAGUCAGGCGUGCAAGCCCGUGGCUCAACCACGGAAUUGCGUUUGAAACUGUUUAGCUUGAGUACAGGAGAGGAAAGCGGAAUUCCCAGUGUAGCGGUGAAAUGCAUUGAUAUUGGGAAGAACAUCUGUGGCGAAGGCGGCUUUCUGGUCU
rnacentral:rRNA from 1 species